rnacentral:lncRNA from 1 species
UGUGAAGCAUUCCGUGUUCUCUUUGCCAUCAUUGUAUCGUUUAGCUUUCUGCUGACCUUGACUAUCCGUCUCCCCUGCCAACAGGCCCUGUCACAAAGAAUGACCCAUUGGCCCAACCCAAUUGGCACCUGAACAGAGACCAGAGUAAGGAGAAAAGGGUUCGGCAACAGUUCCCAAAUUAGGAGGCACCAUAUUUUCUCCAAUACAUUCGAGUAUAUUCUGGUCUCCUUGGUCUUUUGGC